GAAAGUGAGGGUUAUUUGUCUGUGACAUCUGUCACUCCAUCACCUGCCAGGCAGAUUUAGCUGAUGUGGCUAAGUGGUGUCUCCUUUCUCCCUCACUGCUCCAGGUACUUCAGUUCCAAAGCUGCAUGAUCAGUUGAUAAGGAUGAAUUUUCCUCACAGAGGAGGACAGUCUUUUUUAAAUUAUUAUUAUGUACUUUCCUCAAUUACAUUUCCAAU
rnacentral:sRNA from 1 species